rnacentral:lncRNA from 1 species
UCUCAAAAAAUAAUAAUAAAAAAUAAAUUAUAGACCUAUAAGUAAAGACCAAUAUUUUAUAAAGGCGAAUUACUUGUAGCUCUUUAAUUUUUUUAAAAGAUAUUGCCACUACUGGGCCACUGUGGGUCUUUUACUUCUCCAAGUGUUUCUGAAAAAGGAGGAAGGGUAAAGGGAAAGUACCCAUCCAAAAUGUUACAGGGCAAAAGCUAAGUGCCUCUCAGCAUUCCAGGUCCAGCUGCUUUUCCCCUGCUCACCAAUUGAGGUUUCUGUGGAAUUUAUGCCGCAGAUGGACAUAAACCUUUCUGUGGGGUGCUUGGAUGACAACUGCACUCGGAAUGAGAUGUAGGUACCCAACCUAAUGCAAUUGCUGGCCUUAAACUGACACAUUUAAGAAAGAUGUUUCAAUUACCAGCCUGGACAAAAGCCUUUCUCCUAAUUAAAUUUACACAGUAACUAAGAAAAGAGAACAGUGAGGAGGAACUUAGCCCAGGGUGACUCUGUAGCCCCUCAGCCUUCCCCAACCAUUCCCCCUAAAGAGGCCCCAGCUUCCAGAUCUCAAGCAUCCCCCAGUCCCCUGAAGGUUAACGAUGCUGUUUCCUGCUGAACCAGCCAGAAACAACUAACACGCAAGUGGAUUUAUUUUUACCCCAGGCUUUGUCAUCUAUCAUUACUGAAAAACUAAGAGGCAGAUUUUGGCUGAACAGCCUGCGGAAUAUUCAAGAUCUCCAUGCAGAAUUUGGCCCUCCGUCUGCCGCAAUUCAUCUUAUUUAGAGUGGCCUUCUCCUCCCUGCCAAUGUUCCUCAUUAGCAAGGAUAUCUGCAUUCACGACAACAAACUCUCUCUUUUGGUCUGGUCUGGAGUCUAAGGGAUCCUGUGAUGACAUCACCAUGCCACACCACUGACAUCAUAGCUUUCUUGGUGGAAGCAGUCAUUGGUACCUCGGAUGACAUAGUCUAUUUAACCAAAGACUGGGGAACAAAUUUAAAUAUGUCUUGCAGAUGUUCUCAGCACACAGACUUCACCAACAAAAGCUUAUUUAUUGAAGGGCAUUCUCCCUGGAUUUAAGUAUAUUUCACUUGCUGAGGGUAUCUUUCGCUGGUCUGCAAGAUGGAAAUGAUAGAGGCUGCUGAUUUCAUGCCUUCUGGAACCAUGAGACCCAGCUGAGCACUGCAUUGGUGACUCUCCAUUACCUUCCAUAUUACAUUCAAACUAUUCAUUCUAGGCCUCCAGACUUCACUGUUCAUGGAAUUGUGCAUGCAUCUCCUUUCUCAUCCUUUUCCAGUCAAGCAAACUUGAUUUGAGCCCUUCAAAGUCAAUCCAGGCCAGACAUGGUGGCUCAUGCCUGUAAUCCCAGCACUUUGGGAGGCCAAGGCUGGUGGAUCACCUGAGGUCAGGAGUUCGAGACCAGUCUAAACAAUAGGGUGAAACCCCAUCUCUACUAAAAAUACAAAAAAAUUAGCCAGGCGUGGUGACAUGUGCCUGUAAUCCCAGCUACUUGGGAGGCUGAGACAGGAGAAUUGCUUGAACAACAGGAGGCAGAAGUUGGCCGCAGUGAGCCAAGGUCACGCCACUGCACUCCAGCCUGGGCAACAGAGCAAGACUCCCUCUCAAAAAAAAAAAAAAAAAAAUCAAAGUCAAAGGAUUUACAAGCUGGUUCCUGUGUGGCCCACAUGGUGCUGGAUCCAGGCCCUGCCCCUCUGUCUCCUAUUUCCAUAUUUAAUUUAAAGCUCCCUCCUGUUCUCCAUUGAUUUUUUUUUUUUUUCCAAACACCAAACUACUACCCAUCCUUUUCAAACCCAACAAAUACUUCUUUCAGUAUAGCUUGGGUUUUUUUCUUUCCAACUUUUAAUUUAGGCUCAGGUGGUACAUGCAUAGGUUUGUCACAUGGCUAAGUUGCAUGUUGUAGGGGUUUGGUGUACAGAUCAUUUUGUCACCCAGGUAAUCAGCAUAACAACUGAUAGGUAGUUUUUAAAAUUAUUGUUGUUGUUGUUUGAGACAGAGUCUCAUUCUGGCACCCAGGCUGGAGUGCGGUGGCACAAUCUCAGCUCACGGCAACCUCCACCUCCCAGGUUCAAGCGAUUCUCCUGCCUCGGCCUCCCAAGUAGCUGGGAUUACAGGCAUGCACCACCACACCCAGCUAACUUUUUUUUUUUUUUUUUAGAUGGAGUCUCGCCCUGUCACCCAGGCUGGAGUGCAGUGGUGCAAUCUCACCUCACUGCAACCUCCGCCUCCCGGGUUCAAGCGAUUCUCCUGCCUCAGCCUCCUGAGUAGCUGGGAUUACAGGUGCCCGCCACCACACUGGGCUAAUUUUUGUAUUUUUAGUACAGACAGGGUUUUAUCAUAUUGGUCAGACUGGUCUUGAACUCCUGACUUCGUGAUCUGCCCACCUCAGCAUCCCAAGGUGCUGGGAUUACAAGCAUGAGCCACCGCAACAAACCUAAUUUUUGUAUUUUUUUUUUAGUAGAGAUAGAGUUUUACCAUGUUGGCCAGGCUGGUCUCGAACUCCUGGCCUUAAAUGAUCCGCCCACCUUGGCCUCCCAAAGUGCUGGGAUUAUAGGUGUGAACCACCACGCUGGCAUGAUAGGUAGUUUUUUAAUCUUCACCCUCUGCCUACCCUCCACCCUCCAGUGGGCCCUGCUCUCUGUUGUUCCCUUUUUAUCCAUCUGUACUCAAUGUUUAGCUCCCACUUAUGAGUGAGAACAUACAGUAUUUGGUUUUCUUUUUAUUUUGAGAUGGCAUCUCGCUCUGUGGCCCAUGCUAGAGUGCAGUGAUGGCAUCUCAGCUCACUGUAACCUCUGCUUCCCAGGUUCAAGCGAUUCUCCUGCCUCAGCCUCCUGAGUAGCUGGGAUUACAGGUGUGCACCACCAUACCUGGCUAAUUUUUAUAUUUUUAGUAGAGAUGGGGUUUUGCUAUGUUGGCCAGGGUGGUCUUGAACUGCUGACCUCAAGUGAUCCACUCACCUUGGCCUCCCAAAAUGCUGGGAUUACAGGCGUGAGCCCCUGUGCCUGGCCAGCAUUUGGUUUUCUGUUCCUGUGUUAUUAACUUAGGAUAAUCACCUCCAGCUCCAUUCAUGUUGCUGCAAAGGACAUGAUUUUGUUCUUUUUAUGGCUGCGUAGUAUUCCAUGGUGUGUAUGUUCCAGAUUUUCUUUAUCCAAUCCACCAUCGAUGGGCAUCUGGUUGAUUCCAUGUCUUUGCUAUUGUGAAUAGUGCUGCGAUGAACAUAUGAGUGCAUAUGUCUGUAUGGUAUAACAAUCUAUAGCAAGAUAGCUUUUGACAGAUGGGGAAAUUGAGGCAUCAGAACUUGCCCAAGAUCACAAGGCUCAUCAGAAAAGAGUGGAGCCUGCAAUAAGUUUCCAUCUGAAAGCAAAACCCGCUGUGCUGUCCUGCUCCAGAGAAUGUCACUGAGAGGAGGACUGCAAUGCUUCAUUUUAUGUGUCAACUUGAUGGCACCACGGGGUAACGAUGAAGUAGAAAACCCUCCCCAUUGUGGGAGGGCAUCGACCAAUCCACUGAGGGCCUGAAUAGAGCAAACAGUUGGAGGAAAGAGGAAUUUGCUCCUUUUUCCCCUUCCUGGCUGAUUGUUUGAGCUGGGACAUCCAAUUUCUCCUGCCCUGAGGUCAGGAGUUCGAGACCAGCCUGGCCAACGUGGUGAAACCCCGUCUCUACUAAAAAUACAAAAACUAGCCAGGUGCGGUGGUACUUGCCUGCAGUCCCAGCUGCACAGGAGGCUGAGGCACGAGAAUCACUUGAAUCCGGGAGUUGGAGGUUGCAGUGAGCCGAGGUCACACCACUGCACUCCAGCCUAGGUAACAACAAAAAAAACCUUGGAAAAAUGUCUAGGUCUGUAUUUAUCACUACUUGGUCCUGAGAGUGGCACUGAGGACAGAGAUCACAUCCAGAGGUUCUGUUCUGCUGCUACUAGCAUGGGAAAGCCCAGUGUUCCUUGAUACCAGUACAGAUGUGAAGCCUUUUCCCUUCAGCUAUCUGCCUUCUGCUGAGAAAGGAGAGAAGCCAGAAGCAGGUUUCCCCACCUGUCCCAUGUGCACCGACCCCGCACACGCUCACCUAUGACAAUGUUACUCAUGCCAUUUCCCUAAGGCAUUUAAGUCACCGGGCAAUUAAAACCCAAGAUGCUGGGUGUGUGGAUCCAAUCAGGGCAGCCUUCACAACGCCCAAUUAUUACCCGGAAAUCCAGCAUUGUUCUGGAAUCCCUGAGGUUUCUUCAAGAUGACACUUGCAUUUCUAAGCACAGAACUCCAACUUCUUCUUCAUUACCCUACCGGCCUAUUUCCCAGGAAGUAAACAAGCACAAUGUCAUCAUUCUAUUCUAUCCCGAACCUUCCUACAGCUCCCUGGCAGAAGGUUAGCGGGGGUUUUCUCUCUCUAGUUUGGCUGACUCAGAUCUCUCCUCUCCCCCUGGUUGCCUUGAGGAGGCCGAGGUUCUAGGUUUUCUGGUUUCAAAAUAAAUUGGCAGAAAUCUGAAAUGAUGCCAAUACCGCCUUCCUGCCCGCAGGCAGCUGGGUCCCAGUGGGAGGUCUCUUAGCAACCAGGCUCAAAUCAAAUAUUUGGGCGUCUGGACACAUUCUGAUUGGAAUGAGAUCAUAAACAAAAACUUCUCUCUUUCCCUCAACCCAGUUACCAAGCCCCUGGGUUGCUGCCCUGCACCAGGGAAGUCCGUGACUCAUGCGGAACCUUCAGUUACAGGCAGGCCCCACAAUGAGACAUCGCAGUCCCAGACGGCCAGGCCAGAGAUCCACUUCUAUUUCUGUCUUGAUAGGUAGCCUUGCACAAGACAUGCCAGCUUCAACUUUUUUGUGGCUGUGCCUACCUAAAACCCAAAGUUUUAAUUUGAUCCCAAAGUUUUAAAGGAGCUUCUGCACGCAGCUCCUUCCAGAAAUCAAACUGUUCCCAGGUUCAAGGAGGCAUGAGCUUCAGUUCAAGUCAGAAGCAAACCAGAAGAAACGAGGGUUUCUGAGUCCUCUCUUCCUCCAUCUGCCAUCUCGUCCUUCUCUCCACCUUCCCUGCAAGUGACAAAUGACGCAGGGUUGAGAGAAGGGGCAGAUGGAUGCUAG